rnacentral:rRNA from 1 species
UCAAAUGAAUUGACGGGGGCCCGCACAAGCGGUGGAGCAUGUGGUUUAAUUCGAUGCAACGCGAAGAACCUUACCUACUCUUGACAUCCAGAGAACUUAGCAGAGAUGCUUUGGUGCCUUCGGGAACUCUGAGACAGGUGCUGCAUGGCUGUCGUCAGCUCGUGUUGUGAAAUGUUGGGUUAAGUCCCGCAACGAGCGCAACCCUUAUCCUUUGUUGCCAGCG